AGGCCUCUGACACAGGAGGGUUUGUUAGCCUGUCGACAGUAGCAAACAAGGGACGUGCAUUAUUAUUGUUUUUGGUGAUGAUGUCACGAGCUGCUGCGAUCCAGCAGGGAUUGAUGAUCGCCGCAGCGCAGGAGUGGAGGCCGCUGUGGCGCAGGAACUGGAGGUCGCUGCAGGUGAGCCGCUGGGCAGCGGAACAGGUGAGCAGGUGAGCCGCUGGGCAGCGGAACAGGUGAGCAGGUGAGCCGCUGGGCAGCGGAACAGGUGAGCAGGUGAGCAGCUGGGCAGCGGAGCAGGCGAACAACUGGGCAGCAGUGCAGGCGAGCCGCUGGUUUGCAGGCUGAUGACGGGCAGGCCGGGGUGCUGGCUGAUGACUGGCAAGAUGGGGUGCUGGUUGAUGACUGGCAGGCCGGAGUGUCGGCCGGUGACUGCGACCACCCAGAGCCAGGCGGGUGCCCCGGUAUGGGUUCGGAACUGUGGGCUGCUUCCCCAGCACCAGUGAUUACAGCCAAAGGAUACCGUUGCAGUCCUCCACCGAGCCAGGAGUGUUUUUGGCUGGACCACAGCAAAGUGGGACCAGCCCUAUAAAUGCAAAAGUGAAAGUGAUGAAAUUACGAUUGGUUGGUCAAGUGCUGGAGUUUCCCCAUUGGCCAUUGCUCUUUAAAAAUGAAUAGGCACGUGGUGAGUAUCACAAAAACCGGACAAUGGAGAUGAGAUUGAACAUAGUGGUGCCCUGUUUCCAGCUGUAAGCAGCAAGACUAGUCCAGACAUACAAGGCAAUUCCAAUGAUUAAAACAAAAACCAUAGACUACAUUUCUUUUGGACUAAUCUCCUGUAUUUUACCUGGAACGGAUUACCCUAACAGUGAGGCAGCACAUCCACCAAAGCUUCCAAAAGAAAAAAACAAUAUUCAUCCACGGACACAGAGGACCUACAGACGACAGAGAUCAAGAUGAACCUGAGUCAGACAGGGAAAGUUUUGAGGGAGUCUUUGCAGGGACCUCUGUGGAGACAGCUCUUCAAGAAGAGGGUGAAGGUGAAGGGAGCGGACGCCAGUCUCAUGAGUAAUGAGGAGUGACGAGAACAAAACUCAGGUGCUGGAUGAUAACAGGAGGAAGGGACUGGAUCCCCGCUUCACUCAUCACCGUAUCACUUCUGGACAAUAAAGAAUAACUAAAAGAAUAGCUCCUGCAUCCAGGAGUAAGCAGGAAUACUUUGUUCCAGAGAACAAGGAGGAAGAGGAAAUGAUGGCUGCAGCUGACGUUUAACAGGUUGUUGUUGUUAUUGUUGUUCUAUUGUUCUGCUAUUAUUCUCUGUGUUUACUUAUUGUUACCUUUAUUAGAUCUUUGAAUUAUGUGAUGUACUUUUUGAAACUUUUGAAAUUAUUGAAAACAUUUGCAUAUUCAUAGAUUAUGUAUUUUUCAAUGAAGGAGAAGGAAUAUGUGUAAUUUAAAGGAUUUUAACAAUGACACAUUUAAAGGAAUAUUUUUAUGAUCAUAAUCUGUCAUAUCCUUGUAACUGCCAUAAAUCUUAAGUAGAUACCUGUUAAGUUCUGACCAUAUUCUCUAUAAGGGUUACAUUUUUGACCAUAGCACAGUGAUAUCUGUAUAGAAGAUAUUCUGUACUGUUACUGUCACACAACGCAGAAGUAAAUUGGCUCUAGAUUCUAGCAGUGGUCUCAAUCCAGACUGAUAUCAGGGCAGAAGUAAAAGCAUUUGGUGGAUUCAGUCAUAUCAUGGAAUAUUCAUUAUAUGAUUAUUAGUCAUAUAUGAAAGCAUCCUCCUCUUAAAUAGACAUUACCAUAUAUGAAUCAAGACAUAUAAGUCAUUUAAAAGAAAUUACUUAUUUUUUUUGUGCUUCAAAAUAUGACUACAGGUCAUAUCUGAAAUGUAAAUUCCAAUGGUAUCAAAGUAGUUCCAAUCUGGAAAUAGAUAUGAUCUGGAUAUAAGUCAUAAAUGGUGAGCAUCCUCAGUAAUUUUUAUCAGGUUGGAAUGAUAUCUUAGAGACAUAUACCUAUUAGUAUAACUUGCCUUCUGUGUAACGUAUGUCUACAAAAGAAAUGUUACGUGUGGUGCAUUCACAAUAGGACUACAAGCCAAUUCAAACAAUAUAUCAACUCCAUAUUUUAAUAGUAUCAAAGUACUCCCAGUCCGGAGUUUGAUAUAAUCCGAACAUGAGUUAAAACCAGGGCGCCCCAGCACCCACCUACAUGAACUCCCUUACUGCUUGAAGACCUCUUCCGAGAGUACUUAAUCGCCUAAAAUGCUCAGAAUGGAGGUAAGUGUUGUUUGCCUGGUGUUUAUUUUUUUGAAAAUCGGAUGCUUAAUACUGUGACUAGACUAUAAGGUAAUACAUGAAAGGCACAAACUGUGGCUAGUCCUCAGUUAACUUUAUUUAAUGCAAUUCUUAAGAAUAAGCUAAGUGUAAAUGCAUCCAAGUAGCAUUUGAGAUUAACUGAAAUAUGAUUGCUCAAAGAGGUGGCUUGAGAUACAUUCUAGCCAGAUUCUGAAAAGGUUUCUCUCCAAGACACAUACGUAGUCUUCCCUCCUAACUGAACCUAAGCUGUCUGUGGAAGUAGCAAUUCACAGCGUCCGUCUCCUGUGGAAAUGACAACUGUAGUUACACUGAAAUUAACCGUCGUUCUCUCUGUUGCUUGAGACAGAGAGAAAAGCAGGACCAGUAGUUUCAGCACAUACUGAAAGCACACUGAGCUGUUGUAGUGGAACCGGCUGGUUAAAAGGAUACGACCCUUAGCAUUUCAUGUGUGUGGUUUAGCCAAUGACAUGGAUUACCGCAUCAUGUGCAGAGGAUAAAUAACUCACAGUAGCUUCCCUCUUCCGCGGCUGUGUGAGCCUC